UAACCUGGGGAGGAGGGAAUGGUGAUGGCAGUGGCCAUGGGGGAGCUGCAAAUAAAGCAUGAACUUGGCGGUGUUACAGAGGAGUGUGUUGCACACUGCCAGGGUUCCUAAGCCACAGGUGGAGGGGCCCCCACCAGAAGAGAUGGCCUCUUCCCUCUACCCAGAAAAACCUUCCUCGAAAGUAUUGAGUAACUACUGUGGUGAUCCCUGGGGACUCGAGUGUCUGGUCUGAGAGGAGAUGACUCAAGACUUCUUAAUGCCCACUGGGAAAACAACAGCUGAAUCUGGGAAGCAAUGAAGAUGGCAAAUGACACAGACCCCUCUUUCCUCAGCUGGAAUCUUGGGGCAGCAAAGGGGAGAAGUCCAGGCUGGCCUGCUGGAGAAACAUUGCUAUGCCACGUGGACUGUCUGACGCCCAGCCCCGGCCGCCAGACAUUUGAGCGAGGCCAUCUGAGACCAUCCAGCCCCCGUCCAUCUGCCAGAUAUCUGCAGCGAUGUGAGUGAUCUCAGGCGGCUCCAGCAGAACAGCCCAACCGAGCCCAGCCCAGACCGUUGACCUGAAUAUUGAGCUAAUAAAAUGGUUUGUUGUU